rnacentral:rRNA from 1 species
GAGUUUGAUCGUGGCUCAGAACGAACGCUGGCGGCAUGCCUAACACAUGCAAGUCGAACGGGAUCCGGACUUCGGUUCGGUGAGAGUGGCGGACGGGUGAGUAACGCGUGGGAACCUGCCCAGUGGUGGGGGAUAACUGCGGGAAACUGCAGCUAAUACCGCAUGAGCCCGAGAGGGGAAAGAUUUAUCGCCAUUGGAGGGGCCCGCGUUCGAUUAGGUAGUUGGUGGGGUAAUGGCCUACCAAGCCGACGAUCGAUAGCUGGUCUGAGAGGAUGAUCAGCCACACUGGGACUGAGAUACGGCCCAGACUCCUACGGGAGGCAGCAGUGGGGAAUAUUGGACAAUGGGGGCAACCCUGAUCCAGCAAUGCCGCGUGAGUGAUGAAGGCCUUCGGUUGUAAAGCUCUUUUGCGGGACGAUGAUGACGGUACCGCAGAAUAAGCCCGGCUAACUUCGUGCCAGCAGCCGCGGUAAG